CUACGGGUGGCUCCAGUGAGGAAUAUUGCACAAUGGGGGGAACCCUGAUGCAGCAACGCCGCGUGGAGGAUGACGCAUUUCGGUGUGUAAACUCCUUUUAUAUGUCAAGAAAAUGACGGUAGCAUAUGAAUAAGCACCGGCUAACUCCGUGCCAGCAGCCGCGGUAAUACGGAGGGUGCAAGCGUUACUCGGAAUCACUGGGCGUAAAGGACGCGUAGGCGGGUUGGAAAGUCAGGUGUGAAAUCCUACAGCUUAACUGUAGAACUGCACUUGAAACUUCUAAUCUAGAGUAGGGGAGGGGGGGAGGAAUUAGGGGUGUAGGGGUAAAAUCCCGAGAAUUCACUAGGAAAAACCAAAGCGAAGGCGAUCUCCUGGAACAUUUCUGGCCCUAAGGCCGGAAAAGGUGGGGAGCAAACAGGAUUAGAUACCCAGUAGUC
rnacentral:rRNA from 1 species